AAGGUACGGCAGGUGAUUGCUUGGACGCAUGCGUUCAAGAGGAAAGUCCGGGCUACAUGUGAGACAUGGUUCCGUCUAACGGACGGCUAGGGUAACCUAAGGGACAGUGCAACAGAAAGUAAACUACCAUUUUAUCACUCUUGCGAAAGCAUAGCUUUAGUGAGAUGAAUUUUAUGCGAGCUUUGCUUGUAUAAAAGAAGAUGUUAAAAUGGAAAAGGUGAAACGGCGGGGUAAGAGCCCACCAGCGCUUUGAGUAAUCAUCGCGGCUAUGUAAACCCAACCUGUAGCAAGAAGGGACGGUUUUGGUCUCACGCUUCAUAAACCCUUCGCUAGAGGCUUAUCGUAAGAUAAGUCGUAGAUAAAUAAUCACCCCAGACAGAACCCGGCUUAUCGCCGUACCUUUUGU
rnacentral:RNase_P_RNA from 1 species